CGUGUAGGCGGCAUGGCAAGUCAGAUGUGAAAGCCCACGGCUCAACCGUGGAAGUGCAUUUGAAACUGCCAAGCUAGAGUACGGGAGAGGAUUGUAGAAUUCCCGGUGUAGAGGUGAAAUUCGUAGAUAUCGGGAGGAAUACCGGUGGCGAAGGCGGCAAUCUGGACCGAUACUGACGCUGAGACGCGAAAGCGUGGGGAGCAAACAGGAUUAGAUACCCUGGUAGUCC
rnacentral:rRNA from 1 species